rnacentral:lncRNA from 1 species
GUAGCUGUUAUUUCGUAUUGUUGCUUAUACUAUUCGCAGUAACUUAUCCAGGUCCGUGACGGAACCGUCAUGAAGUGAGUUACUAACAAUGUUGUCAAUUCGCCAUUGGCGGUAAAUUAUCCGUAAGUCAGUCAUGUUCUCCGAGUAGCGUAUCAACCUCAACUUCUUUUCCUUUAUCGUUGUUGUGGUGUUCAUAGUUGUUUGCAGUGAGUCGUCAACGGCCCCGUCCAGUCCUUUUUCCUUAGCCUUUUUUUCAUAUGUUGAUCAGCUCUGAUUGGCAAAUCAGAGAAUUAAGCCGCGUUACGGCAAACCCGAUCCAGUUCACUGGGUCACUAGUGCAUAGUAAAUGUGUGUCAAAUCAUUCACGGGCAUUGACCCUCAGACUGCGACCGGCGACCACUCAUCGCACCUAUGUUCUUAUCCUCCCUUUGUUGAGGGUUGUAUUUCAUUUUCAUGUGUUACCCGGAGUGUAGUAGAAGCUUGAAUUCUGUCAAGCGGCUGAUGUUCCCGUGAAAAUCUGCGGAUGUUGAUUCUGGUUUUUCCCAUGUCGCGUAUUAAGGCAGGGGCACCCCCCUCGGUCUCCCCCAAAUUCCCCCUCUCUUCCCUUCCUUUCUUCAAGUUAAAGCUACCGGCCUUAUUUCCCCCAAUUCGAAACUGUUUAGGCUUCUUUUGAUUGUACCGUCUUUUGCAAUCAGUUCCCCCCUCCCCCCUUGUCGUCAGAGAGUGUGACGUCACUUUGCGGAUUUUGGAGAGAGAUUUGUCUUCACUUGGAUCUUUGAAUUGCGGCGGACUGUAUUUGAGCCGUAUUCUUCUUGUCUCUAGGCAAAGGAUUGCCCAACGUUCUUCGGUCUCAAUACUUAUCAUUCACGCCCAGGUACCCUAACCAAAUUCAGGAUUAUCCAUGUUCACCUGUUUCAUGUUCCAGUUUUCUCUCUUCUGCUCGCUCUCUCGACAAUUAGAAGCCUUCUUUCACAUGUGUUCUCAUUUUUUUUUUAUGGUUUCUGUCCCCCAUUUAAAGGGCCAGUGGUCCCUCGUGUCAUCAUCCUCCUAUUCUAUCACUAUUAUUUUCAAACUUCCCGCUCCUGUGUUCCGUUCAUGUAAGACCUUCGGGGAAGGCAUUCGGUGCCCGCGCCAUGUUCGUUUGCGCCUGUGUGACGUAUCUCGAUUUCUUCCGUAUACUAUCCUUCCUACCCAUUUACAGUCCAUCUGCUAUUUCAGGCGUUUCUCGGCUUCGGCGCGUCCACACAUGACUGAGAACAACUGAUGAUAAACUGACUGCUUGCUGCUGUAAGAUUGGACUAGUUGAGCUUGUUAAAAGCUGAUUAUCCUGGACUUUAGUAACUAUCAGGACUAUUAGA